CUCCACCUUCGACUCUUUCCCUAGAAACUGCUGCCAGCACAGGUAGUACUACAUCUCCAUACAUGGAAGACAGUUAAGAAAUUCUACAAAGGAUGAUAAAUAGAUACCUGAGAAGAAAGAAAUCUCCUAUACUGAGUAUCUUCUGUUUACAGUUUCUCAAUUCCAGGUUAACAUGUAGCAGCUAUUUGAGAAUCCUGCUGUUGUCCUUUCCCUUCACAUCCUUUACCCGGAGCAGCAGUG